rnacentral:misc_RNA from 1 species
AUCGUCCCUGCCGGCUGGCUCCGUGCCCGUCCACCGAACGGUCGGCGGGCGAUCCGCUUCGGUCGCGCUGGGUGGUAUGGUUCCCCAGAGGCCGGUUCUUGUGCUGCCUACCCCUUCAGGGGAAGCGGGCCGCUUGAUGCAAGCCUCCAUCCCGCGCCCUGCAACGGGCGCAGGAGGACAACGGAGCACCCCCCGCGUUCCACCGAGCCCCCUCGGUCGCGUGGCGCGCGGGGACGUGCGAUGCUCUCGGACCCAGCGAACGCCGUGGGCGAGGACUCACGUCCCAGUCCCGAUAGAAGCUCCCACAUAAUGCUGACGGCCGCUCCCGUCCCCCGACCGCCCCGGAAGGCGCGGGGGCGAGGCGCGGCGUCGCGGAGGAAUGCUACCU